UCCUUCGCCAAUUCAGUCGGCAGCUGGAUCUUGGAAGCGUGCGACUGCAGGCUGGUUCUCUCCACGCAACUGAGAGGCAAAAACCCUAGCCGUCUUCCUCGUCCCAACCCUCGCGACACCAUGGCCGCAUCCAACGGCGGCGGCGGCCCGAUCUCCGCCGAGGCGGCGGCGGCGCUUGGCGAGGGCAUCAGGCUGGUGUUCGGGCGCUGGACGGCGCUGCAGAUGGCGGUAGAGAACCAGUGGGGCGGCCGCGACUCCCGCGCCAAGGCCGACCAGUUCGGCGAGUCCAUCCACUCCUGGUUCUGCCGCUCCAGGGGUCCGCACUAUUUCGAAGACUUGGUGGAUAUGAUGUACGACACAAUAUCUGAUUCUUUCAAUGCUGACUUUGAGGAUAAUAGCGUUGAGGAGGUCGCUGAACAGUUAUUGAUUAUACAUGAAGAAUGCCUGCAAAGCAACUAUUCAUCAAUAGAGAAGUUAAGGAAUUCACAUGUUCAGGGGAAUGCUGUUUCUCAAAGUAGACAGAUAGCUGCAGAUGAUGACGACAGUGAUAGCUCAGAUGAUGAUGACGGCGCGUCAAUGAUGGAAGAUGAAGCAGCUGCUGCGCCAGAGGAGAUGGCGGUGGACAGACCAAGACCCUCUAGGCCAGCACCUGACGCCGAUGGGUGGACUGUUGUGCCUCCUAGGCAUGGCGGUCGCUCUCGUGGCAGGAAUUAGGCAGAGGGCUGGAAACCUUGCUGCAUACUUACAUGUUGCUAGCUGCCGAUUUUGUUACUGAAUAUUGAGUGUUGCAGGUUCCUAGUUGCAUGUAUUGCUCAGGAUUUUAUCAGGGAUGUCGAGUGUUUUGCUUGCCACCAGAUUUGUAUUUGACAUGGGCGUGACUGCUCGUCGUGCUCCUGCUUAGGCUCGAGCUUCGUCCUGCGCGCCGUCAGAGCGAGCACGGCCAGGAUCGCCACGGCCGCUCGCGCCGCUGCUGCCAGAGCCGUGGUGAUGGCGGCGAACGGCACGGCGAUCGUGUUAAAGGCGGCCGAGUGCGCGUGGGAGGUGGCCACGAACACGUCGAUCACUUCGGCACAGACGCUCUUCGACGAUGUCAGAUACGUCGGCAAGGGUAGACUGUAGUAUGAUACUAC